AUAUCAAUAAGCGGAGGAAAAGAAACUAACAAGGAUUCCCCUAGUAACUGCGAGUGAAGCGGGAAAAGCUCAAAUUUAAAAUCUGUCAGUCUUUGGCUGUCCGAGUUGUAAUCUAGAGAAGCGUUAUCCGCGCUGGACCGUGUACAAGUCUCCUGGAAUGGAGCGUCAUAGAGGGUGAGAAUCCCGUCUUUGACACGGACUGCCAGUGCUUUGUGAUGCGCUCUCAAAGAGUCGAGUUGUUUGGGAAUGCAGCUCAAAAUGGGUGGUAAAUUCCAUCUAAAGCUAAAUAUUGGCGAGAGACCGAUAGCGAACAAGUACCGUGAGGGAAAGAUGAAAAGAACUUUGGAAAGAGAGUUAAACAGUACGUGAAAUUGCUGAAAGGGAAACGCUUGAAGUCAGUCGCGUUGUCCAGGGAUCAACCUUGCUUCUGCUUGGUGUACUUUCUGGUUGACGGGUCAGCAUCAAUUUUGACCAUUGGAAAAAGAUUAAGGGAAUGUGGCAUCCUUGGAUGUGUUAUAGCCUUUGGUUGCAUACAAUGGUUGGGAUUGAGGAACUCAGCACGCCGCAAGGCCGGGUUUUUAACCACGUACGUGCUUAGGAUGYUGGCAUAAUGGCUUUAAUCGACCCGUCUUGAAACACGGACCAAGGAGUCUAACAUGCCUGCGAGUGUUUGGGUGGAAAACCCGAGCGCGUAAUGAAAGUGAAAGUUGAGAUCCUUGUCAUGGGGAGCAUCGACGCCCGGACCAGACCUUUUGUGACGGUUCCGCGGUAGAGCAUGUAUGUUGGGACCCGAAAGAUGGUGAACUAUGCCUGAAUAGGGUGAAGCCAGAGGAAACUCUGGUGGAGGCUCGUAGCGAUUCUGACGUGCAAAUCGAUCGUCAAAUUUGGGUAUAGGGGCGAAAGACUAAUCGAACCAUCUAGUAGCUGGUCUG
rnacentral:rRNA from 1 species